rnacentral:rRNA from 1 species
UAAAGGUACCCGUACCGCAAACCGACACAGGUGGGUGAGGAGAGUAUCCUAAGGCCAGCGAGAGAACUGUUGUUAAGGAACUCGGCAAAAUGACCCCGUAACUUAGGGAUAAGGGGUGCCACCAUCAGGUGGCCGCAGAGAAUAGGCCCAAGCGACUGUUUACCAAAAACAUAGGUUUCUGCUAAGUCGCAAGACGAUGUAUAGGAGCUGACGCCUGCCCGGUGCUGGAAGGUUAAGGGGAUCUGUUAGAGCAAUCGAAGCAG